AGAAUGAACGCUGGCGGCGUGCUUAACACAUGCAAGUCGCACGAGGCGGGGGGGGCAACCCCUCCAGUCGAGUGGCGGACGGGUGAGUAACACGUGGGUAACCUGCCCGGAUGUGGGGAAUACCUCGGGGAAACUCGAGCUAAUACCGCAUGACAUCUUCGGGGCGAAAGUCCUGACGAUCAAAGCGGGGUCGCAAGAUCUCGCGCUUCCGGAUGGGCCCGCGCCCGAUUAGCUAGUUGGCGAGGUAACGGCUCACCAAGGCGACGAUCGGUAGCCGGCCUGAGAGGGUGAUCGGCCACACCGGAACUGAGACACGGUCCGGACUCCUACGGGAGGCAGCAGUGGGGAAUCGUUGCGCAAGUGGGCGAAAGCCUGGACGCAGCAACGCCGCGUGGAGGACUGAACGGCCUUGGGUUAGUAAACUCCGUGUCGGCGUAGGAAGUAAAGUCGGUUACGGGCUAACGUACCCCGGACGUUGACUGUACCAGCAAACGGACGCCCGGACUAACCUC
rnacentral:rRNA from 1 species